AGAGUCUGUAAUAUAUUUCUCCAUGGAUUCGCGCUCAGGACGGGAGAGAUUAUAUAGCCGGCUCGUAGGUAGUGGGGCUCCCGGAAGCAAGUCAAUAGCACAAUCGUAAGGGCGAUGAGGAGGAAGUGAAACCGCCCGCUCCACGCUAAAUACCUCUGCUAGGUCCCUGUAUUCCUUGGGCACCGCCGAGAGGCUAGGGCCAGUGUCAGGUCUGCCUGAGGGAAGAACCUGAUGGGGAACUGCAGACCGGAGGCAGCGGGAGUGGCAAGUGGAACUCCAGCCUGUGAUCCUGCUCCUCGCCCAAUCAAUCUGUGGAUUAUGAUCCCUGAGCCAGGGGAGGCCCAGGACCAGCGGUAUUUGGGGGGAAGAGAAAACAUAGAACUGUGUCUCCUGACGAUGAUUCCCAGACACGAUUAGAGAGAUGGGUAGAGUCCGGUGUGUUAUCUCAGCCAGAGAACUGCCAUCCAGUGCCCUCACCAGCUGAGCUCGUUCUAAUGCCUCCACUGGGAUGCCUCUCUGCUUAAUAAAAGUUGUGUCCAAAAAGUUCUGUUCAGCCCCGGAGUCAAUAAGUGCGGGCAGGUGCACCGGACCAGAUGAAAGAUACAGGGUGACAGGAAACACAGAUUGAGGCUUGGCAUGAGGGACUCUCUCUGAAACGCUCGCCAGCACCCCCACUCUUACCGGCGAGCUCUCUCUUUUGGCCGAACAGGGCAGACGGCCAUACGAUGUCCUAACUGCCCACAGUAAAGGCAGCCUCCGGAGCGAAAACGCCGCUCUCUCUCCUCUGGGGAGAGAUGGGCCUGGCCCAGCUGCAUUGGCUCCUCUGGCUCCAAUGCAGGAGGUCCUGGGGCGGGAGAGAGGCGACGUGCAGAGCUGUAUCGUUGGAACGGGCUCGUCGGCGGAAAACUGGAGACUGAGGUCGACUGCCGAGCAGUGGUGGGGGGCCAGUAGUUCCUCUCCCGACGGCGCUCCCGGAUACGGUUGUCCAUGUUGAUGGAGAGUGUGAGAAGCUCCUCUAAUGACUCUGGCAUCUCCCGGACCGCAAGCUCGUCCUUCAACAGCUCCGAAAGACUGUUGC
ensembl:lncRNA